GAGGCUGUGGCUCAGUGGUAGAGUGCUCGACUGGCAUUUGUGAAGCACUGGGUUCAAUCCUCAGCAUCACA
rnacentral:tRNA from 1 species